GACGAACGCUGGCGGCGUGCUUAACACAUGCAAGUCGAACGGAAAGGCCCUGCUUUUGUGGGGUGCUCGAGUGGCGAACGGGUGAGUAACACGUGAGUAACCUGCCCUUGACUUUGGGAUAACUUCAGGAAACUGGGGCUAAUACCGGAUAGGAGCUCCUGCUGCAUGGUGGGGGUUGGAAAGUUUCGGCGGUUGGGGAUGGACUCGCGGCUUAUCAGCUUGUUGGUGGGGUAGUGGCUUACCAAGGCUUUGACGGGUAGCCGGCCUGAGAGGGUGACCGGCCACAUGGGGAGUGAGAUACGGCCCAGACCCCUAGGGGGGGGAGGGGGGGGGAAAUUUGCAAAAGGGGGGGAAGCCGGAUGCGGAAACGCCGCGUGGGGAAGAAGGGCUUUGGGGUUGAAAACCGCUUUCGCCUGGGAGGAGGGGGGAGGACGGGAAAUGGGAAAAAAGGCCCGGGUAAAUUACGU
rnacentral:rRNA from 1 species